rnacentral:rRNA from 1 species
UGGGGAAUAUUGCACAAUGGGCGCAAGCCUGAUGCAGCCAUGCCGCGUGUGUGAAGAAGGCCUUCGGGUUGUAAAGCACUUUCAGCGGGGAGGAAGGCGAUAAGGUUAAUAACCUUGUCGAUUGACGUUACCCGCAGAAGAAGCACCGGCUAACUCCGUGCCAGCAGCCGCGGUAAUACGGAGGGUGCAAGCGUUAAUCGGAAUUACUUGGCGUAAAGCGCACGCAGGUGGUCUGUCAUGUCGGAUGUGAAAUCCCCGGGCUCAACCUGGGAACUGCAUUCGAAACUGGCAGGCUAGAGUCUUGUAGAGGGGGGUAGAAUUCCAGGGGUGGCGGUGAAAUGCGUAGAGAUCUGGAGGAAUACCGGUGGCGAAGGCGGCCCCCUGGACAAAGACUGACGCUCAGGUGCGAAAGCGUGGGGAGCAAACAGG